AUUGAACGCUGGCGGCAGGCUUAACACAUGCGAGUCGAGCGGAGCGAGGGUGCUUGCACCUUAGCUUAGCGGCGGACGGGUGAGUAAUGCUUAGGAAUCUGCCUAUUAGUGGGGGACAACAUUCCGAAAGGAAUGCUAAUACAGCAUACGCCCUACGGGGGAAAGCAGGGGAUCUUCGGACCGUGCGCUAAUAGAUGAGCCUAAGUCGGAUUAGCUAGUUGGUGGGGUAAAGGCCUACCAAGGCGACGAUCUGUAGCGGGUCUGAGAGGAUGAUCCGCCACACUGGGACUGAGACACGGCCCAGACUCCUACGGGAGGCAGCAGUGGGGAAUAUUGGACAAUGGGCGGAAGCCUGAUCCAGCCAUGCCGCGUGUGUGAAGAAGGCCUUUUGGUUGUAAAGCACUUUAAGCGAGGAGGAGGCUACUUAGAUUAAUACUCUGGGAUAGUGGACGUUACUCGCAGAAUAAGCACCGGCUAACUCUGUGCCAGCCGCCGCCGUAA
rnacentral:rRNA from 1 species